ACACGACUACAUUAGAUACCCGCGUAGUCCUAGCCGUAAACGAUACUCGCUAGGUGUCGGCCACGGUGCGACCGUUGUCGGUGCCGUAGGGAAGCCGUGAAGCGAGCCACCUGGGAAGUACGGCCGCAAGGCUGAAACUUAAAGGAAUUGGCGGGGAGCACCACAAGAGGUGGAGGCUGCGGUUCAAUUGGACUCAACGCCGGAAACUCAUCGGGAGCGACAGCAGUAUGAUUGCCAGGUUGAUGACCUUGCUUGACAAGCUG
rnacentral:rRNA from 1 species